ensembl:lncRNA
UUGCUGAAGCUCCACAUCUGUAUUUCAUUUAUGCUCACGAUGAGCCCAGAAGCAAAUUACCGUUAUCCCUGCUUUCUGGAUGAAGUUCAGAGAAGCCGAGUAACUCGCCUAAGGGAACAGAGUUGGGCGAUGCAGUCGCCUUGUCCCGCCUGGGCAAGUUCAAGAACCACAGGAGGGGUGGAUUCUUUUCCUGCUGAGCCAGGGAAGGGAAGACUUCAUGGAGGGAACUGUCAGUGUAAAAAUGAUAGCUCCUGUUCUCAAGGAGACAUUUUCUUGGCUAUGUUCUGGAUAUUGAGAUUACUAAAUGGAGAAGAUAGAAGCCAUGGUUCCAAGGAGGGCAUGGGACAUAUCAGGGGAACUCGGUCCAGCUGGAGCGGCGUGCUUCCUCCCGGGCCAGGGCUGCGGCAGUGGCCGACCGUCCCUGGCCAGAGCUGCUCAACCCCCGCCGGCAGCGCCCACUCCCCCCAGGGACUACCGGACCCGGGCCAGGGACAGCAGACACCUAGGCUGAGCCUGGAACUAGACAGCCCCCGACCUCCGCAGCGCGCACGCUGUAGUCUCGCCUCACCCCACCCGCCACCCGUCUUCAGUGUCUCCUCGCGCCUUCUCCCCAGGGUCUGCGCCGGUCCUCCACACCUUCACACAGGUCUCGGUCUGUGCUGUAACACCGGCCUCAUUCCCGGCGCUCGGCUCGGGUCAACGUCUGCUGAGCUUCCAGAGGAAGCUCAUUCACCGCAUAGUUGGAUAGGGGAGGAGUUGGGGCGGGGG